rnacentral:lncRNA from 1 species
UGUUCUGAACACAUUACAGUAAAGUGUUUACUGUUCAAAUUUAAAUUUCAAAUUUAAAUGCAUGCAUGCUAUAUAUCAUAUUUAGAUCCUAGUGUAGGAUAAAUUUUUAUUAAUUAACUAGAUUAAUUAAUAAUUUCUACUAUAAAAUAGUGAUUUUGAAAAAGUUUUAAAAUUACCAUUUUACCCCUGCACUGAUUUUUCCCACAGAAAUACCA